UGGGGAAUAUUGGACAAUGGGCGCAAGCCUGAUCCAGCCAUGCCGCGUGAGUGACGAAGGCCUUAGGGUUGUAAAGCUCUUUUUGGCGGGGAAGAUAAUGACGGUACCCGCAGAAUAAGCUCCGGCUAACUUCGUGCCAGCAGCCGCGGUAAUACGAAGGGAGCUAGCGUUGUUCGGAAUCACUGGGCGUAAAGCGCACGUAGGCGGUUUGAUAAGUCUGAUGUGAAAACCCUGGGCUCAAUCCAGGAAGUGCAUUGGAUACUGUCAGGCUAGAGUACAGGAGAGGUGGGCGGAAUUCCUGGUGUAGAGGUGAAAUUCGUAGAUAUCAGGAGGAACAACAGUGGCGAAGGCGGCUCACUAGACUGUAACUGACGCUGAGGCGCGAAAGCGUGGGGAGCAAACAGGAUUAGAUACCCCCGUAGUCCCUGAGCGGGCUGGCAAGGCGCAU
rnacentral:rRNA from 1 species